UUACCGAGUUUUCGGGCUUCGGCUCGACUCUCCACCCUUUGUGAACGUACCUCUGUUGCUUUGGCGGCUCCGGCCGCCAAAGGACCUCCAAACUCCAGUCAGUAAACGCAGACGUCUGAUAAACAAGUUAAUAAACUAAAACUUUCAACAACGGAUCUCUUGGUUCUGGCAUCGAUGAAGAACGCAGCGAAAUGCGAUAAGUAAUGUGAAUUGCAGAAUUCAGUGAAUCAUCGAAUCUUUGAACGCACAUUGCGCCCCUUGGUAUUCCGGGGGGCAUGCCUGUUCGAGCGUCAUUACAACCCUCAAGCUCUGCUUGGAAUUGGGCACCGUCCUCACUGCGGACGCGCCUCAAAGACCUCGGCGGUGGCUGUUCAGCCCUCAAGCGUAGUAGAAUACACCUCGCUUUGGAGUGGUUGGCGUCGCCCGCCGGACGAACCUUCUGAACUUUUCUCAAGGUUGACCUCGGAUCAGGUAGGAAUACCCG
rnacentral:rRNA from 1 species